GAUGAACGCUGGCGGCGUGCCUAACACAUGCAAGUCGAACGGAGUUUGUAGAACGGAAGUCUUCGGAUGGAAGAUUUAUAAACUUAGUGGCGGACGGGUGAGUAACGCGUGGGUAACCUGCCUCGUACAGGGGGAUAGCAGCUGGAAACGGCUGGUAAAACCGCAUAAGCGCACAACUUCGCAUGAAGGAGUGUGAAAAUAUUUAUAGGUACGAGAUGGGCCCGCGUCUGAUUAGCCAGUUGGCAGGGUAACGGCCUACCAAAGCGACGAUCAGUAGCCGGCCUGAGAGGGCGGACGGCCACAUUGGGACUGAGACACGGCCCAAACUCCUACGGGAGGCAGCAGUGGGGGAUAUUGCACAAUGGGCGAAAGCCUGAUGCAGCGACGCCGCGUGAGUGAAGAAGUAUUUCGGUAUGUAAAGCUCUAUCAGCAGGGAAGAAAGGCCUCGAAAGAGGAGAUGACAGUACAUA
rnacentral:rRNA from 1 species